GGGCAGCUGCCGGUGCAGGGGGACAAGCAUCGCCUGGAGCACCGGAUCAUAAUAUCGGGGGGCGGGGAGGGGCUGCGGCGGUGGAGCGACGUGCAGGCGGCGGAUUUGCUGUACCUGGGAUCGGAAAUGCUGCUGGGUGGAGAGGAGGGGGAGAGUGGCAGCGGCGUAAUAAAUGGGAGAAGCGUGUCGGAAAUAACAGGGAUGAGUAGGUACAGGGGCAAUAAUGGAGGGAAGGAGGAGAGAGAGAGACAGGAGGAAGGCGUUGUAAACAGGUGGUUGGCCUGGAUUUCUCAAUCCCAACACCACCACAAUCCAGCUGUACAAUCUGCCACUUCUGCUGCUGCUUCUUCUCCUAUUGUUCUUUAGGCAAAAUCAUUAUUUAAUACUCUGUUUUUUUUCCUUGAUUUUUGUUACUGAUCUAUACAAGGGCUAAACAUUCAUAUCUCCAUUCACUGCAUUUGCAUGCAAACAAACAUUAUCUAUUGCGACAUUAAGAGUUAGGUAGCUUGUCAUCCAUCGCCUCUGUCGAUUCCACUGUUUUAUAGAGGUACAAAUAUUAAUCUUCCUUCAUAAUCAAACCAAUAAUGCACUAGUAAGAUACGUAUGCCUUGGAAGUAAUAAUGCUCAAAAGACUUCAAAAUGUUGUUUUUAAUUAUUGUUUAUGCGAUAAACGUACUUUAAUAGUAUGUCUGUCAAGACACUCGGCGACACUUUUAAUUACUAAGUAUUAUUUCGACACAUUUUGUAAUUUCGAUGCACACGCAUGUAUAGGAAUGAUGUGGGACGUAUUGCAAACAUGGAAAUUCAUAAACAAAUCAUUGAUAUUAUUGCAUAACAUAUCACUCUUUGAAAGUUGAAAAGCAUUUGCUGUUCUAUAACUGAUUUGAGAGAGAGAGAGAGGACAACAUUAGAUGAGAAAAGUCGCUGUCAAGCCGGCUGUUGCAUUUGGUGCCAUGGCUAUCAUCUGACAAUCAGCUGUUCAAAUCAUUAGCCAGAAAGAAGCAACUAAACAUAGCAAGGCUUAAAGGUUACCUUUACGCCAGAGAAGUUUCAUAUUUUACUCAAAUGACAAAACACAUAAUGAAAAUUUUAUCCUUUUGAUCUCUCCCAUCCCAUGAGCUCCCACGGCCACAAUAUAUCCACACAAAAGAUGAAAUAGAUUGCUGUCUACAUACACACUAUAUAUGCACAUAUGUUAUCUUAAUGUACAUCACACAAAUGACUAAUAGUACAGAGGCGCCCAACUGCAAAGCAGCAACGCCACUAACAUACAAUCCCGCCAAAUAUGCACACUCCUCAACAAUACCCAAAAUGCCAACAAUUUCAAAGCACUCCCUGGUUAGUGAGAUAAUUCAGUGGUCCAGCCAAGGUUUCUUGCAGGCUCACUUUUUGUCCGUCGUUAUGCCGACAACAACAUUGCUUACCUAAACAUUUUAAGUUAUUCUCAGAAUAGUGGUUUUGGUUGGAAGAGUUCAAGGACAAUAAAAAUAACAUAAUAAUAAUGGAUUUACCAGUUUCCCGCUCUUGUCAACGGACAUAGGAUUUUCCACAACGACAGUUUGGCUCUGGGGAUUGGGUAAUGGCUGCAUUGGACCAUAAUUAGAAAAACCAAGGUGAGAAGGAAAGAAAUGAAAGUGAAAACAUACUAUCAUAAUUAGUUUUCACUAGUUAAGCCUGCCUAAGCACUCAAGUUCUAGGAAGACAUGAUCAGAUAUCAGAACUCACCGAUGAACCAGAAGGCAUCGGUGCUGGAGAGGCAGGUCCGAUUGGCCUAUGCAUGGGAAGUGGGACCCUAACAUUUCCCAUCUGCCAGUAUGAAUCAAUGAGAUAAUAAGGACUGACACUAAGUGGUCCAGCAAUAAGACACCCGAUGAAUGCUUAAAUAUAUGAAUAGCUGCAUUGGAUAAACUAGAACAGGAAUGAUAGAGGAGCUGACUUCCAAUAAAUAAAUAAACAGCCAAUGUACUUACAUUGACAUUUGUGAUAUAUUGACAAACAGCACAUUUGACAGAUGGAGCACCAUAAGGAUACAUGAGUGUCGUGUGACAGUUUCCACAGUUGAUGUGAGCGAUAUUAGGUGCUAACCAAAAGACAGCCAAAACCCAAAAAAAUAUACUUAUAAGAAAAUGCUUAAUCAAGGUUAAGAAAGAAGUGAAAUUAGACUUGGAAUGUAAUUUUAGCAAUAUAUACACGCAAACACGCACACUCUCCAGAUGAAUAACCUACAACAUAAUUCCAAGGGUACACAUAAUCUUACCAGGAUAUAACUAUAUAAGUAUUAGAAAACCAUAGAAAUUUAGUUCUCCCUAUUAGAACUGAUUAAAGGAGCUCACUUGGAAAAGGUUCCACAGGAAUAAAGAAACAAAGAAAAUAUCAUAUUUACCAUAUAAUCAAUAAAUAUUUACCUAUAUAAUCAAUAACUUCAUGAUCAGCAAGUAACAUACAAAAAAGUAAACAAUAACAAUUACAAAAACCAAAACUCCCCUGAUAGCAAGUACAUCAAAGAUACUGACACUACAAACCAUGACAGCUAUCAUUUUCUUCAUAAUUGUAUUACCUGGUGCUAGGUUCACUGUGUGACAACAGGAGCAUCUCACACUGGUAGCACCCCGAGUAUACAUCAAUAAUGUACGGCAGCCUCCACAUAUCAGUUGGGCCAUUUCCAUUCCUGAGUAUGAGUCAGGUUUUUAGCUUUAGCAAAUCCCCCAAACAAUAUCCAAAUUUCAAAUCACAUCAUAGUAAAGUUUAUCAUGCCCAAGCAUCACAUUUGCUAAACGGGAAUCAUGAAACAAUCAUCGAAUCACCAGAAUAGUAGCCAUAUACUGAAAUUGAGAUUUAAGCAUCACAGUAUUUCCUAAAAAGAAUAUGGAUAUACAAACCAGAAAAUGAAUCAUAGCCUGCUCUUAUAUUCUAACAUACAACAUAUGAAUUAGUAUAAUACAAUCUACAUAGCAAGCAAUUGAAGUCUCAUAUCAGAACACCAAAUAUGAAACUCAGCCUUUCAACAUGAGAGCCUAAACAAAAAUCAAACUAGAAAGUGGAAAGUACGAAGCUAGUGCUUGUCACUUGAACUCAUGAGUCAUGACGCUGAAAAGGAACAUGCCACUAAGGCACUUCAGAUCAGCAAGAAACCAAUCCCACAAAAAAAGAGUAGAAGCCUGAUCUGAUAUUUUACCGAAUAUCCUAAUAUGCACGAGGAAUAUUGUUCCAUAAUAAUCAAAGGCAAUUCCAUCUUGAUCAUCGUACUGUCUUUGAGUAAGGCUAACCAAAGUGGUAAAGAAAGAAUAAUAAUUCCAACAUAAAUGUUUAGAUGUUUCAUUUUAUUUGCAUGCUAGCCACCUUUCACUUGAAAGAGCGGAGAACAUCUUUAACAUGCCAAGUCACCUUUCCAUCAUAACUAAUGGUGAAUUACUCAAAUAAGGUUCNCCUCCGUCCCAUUAUUCAUGACACAAUUUCCAUUUUGGGUUGUCCCAACAUACAUGACACAUUUCCAUUUUGACAAAAAUAAGGGAUAGAUUAAACCUUAAUUAAUUGACUAAUUAUCUCCCUAAUUAUACUAAGUUACGGACUUGAGGGAGUAUCUAAAAUCAUUCCAUUUUUUCACCUUUUUCAAUUCUGCUGACCUCUCUCUCUCUUCCUGAAACCUAAAGCCAUCUAUCUCUCUCCUCCAUCGCUCUUUCCCCGCCGUCUCAGCAUCUCCAGCCUCGUCUCCCUCUUGGCCGGGCAACACACAGCGCCGCCGUAGCCUUGAGAAAAACCCUAGCAGUGGGGCAGCGGCCUCGAGAGAAACCUUAGCCGAAGAAACCCUCUCCCCUCUCCGACCACCCCACCGCCGAAAAACCCCCUCCCUCUCCAGACGCCAGUCGCCGCAGCCACCAUCCGCCCAUGCGACUGCCUCUCUCUCUCUCUCAUCACCGCCGCUCCACAGCUACAUAACCCACUCCACCGCCUCUCUCUCUCUCCUCCAUCGCUGCUCCACCGCUGCAAAACCCACUCCACCGCCUCUCCCUCUUUCCUCCCCCUCUUCCCUGCGCGGCGAGUCUCUAUCUCUGCGGUGAAUUUAUUUUUGUAGAUCUAAAGCUAGUUUGUAGCCAUCGCCGAAUAGCCAUCGCCGAAUAGAUCUUGGAAACUUAAUUGGGUUUCGAUUUUUGUUUUGAUUUUGUUCGAUUUUCGCUCAUCUUGUCUCGAAUCUCUGCGGUGGAUUUAUUUUUAUUUUUGUUCGAUUUUUGUGUUGCUGUUGUGAGUAUUUUUUUUUAUCUUUCUGAGUAAAAUUUUGAUUUUCUCAGAAAUUUUGUUUUGUUGUUGUUCUUGUUGCAUAGUAAAUUUUCUGUAUUGUUGAUCUUAUUGAGUAAAUUUUAAUGUUGAUUUUUAUCUUGAGAGAAUCCAUUUAAUGUUGUUGUUGAUCCUGAUGAGUGAUGAGUAAAAUUUUAAUUAAUCACCUAAUGAAACACCUUAUCUCAUCUUUAGUCCCUAAUCUUGUUCUUCUUAAUCUCCGUGCCCAACAGUGUUGUCCCAUAAAUAAUGGGACGGAGGGAGUACUAUUUCUUUUCGGCACGGAGAUUAAGAAAUGUGUAUAAAGUAGAUAAAGUAAGUUGGUGGAAAUUAUUUAAAUAUUAAGUAUAGAGAGAGAGUGUAUUACCAAAAAAGGAAACAUGACAUUUCGUUUGGGACAGCCCAAAAAGGAAAAUAGGACAUUUGAUUUGGGACGGAGGGAGUAUAAGAGUAGACAUGGUAGAUCUAGAAAAUGAGAAUCCAGCGGACAGCAUAACAGUGUGAAAGAAAACUACUAAACACAGGAAAGACCAAUCCCACGGUUUAAGCAUUCGCAAAUAUGAAUUCCAGCCAACCCUGUCUCACAUGUUUGCCUACUACUACUGUAUCAUCAUCAUCAUCACCAUCUCCUCUCCUAUGCGUAUAUAUACGUGCCUGUACGGUGGAGAGACAUCAAACUACCUGAUCCUAAGAUUCUCUUUUAUACUCAUCAAGCUUCUGCCUUUCAGACAAAAACCGCCCCUUUCUAUCAUUCCAAUUCCACUAUAACACUCUCCAUUCUGCUACAUGCUUUUGUCUUUUCUUCUUUGCAUUUUCCUUCCCCCCCUUUCUAUACAAUCCACUAUUGCUCUCAACCGACUCACAAUCUAACAUGCCCAUCUUCACUUUUCUCCUUUUCUUCAUUCUCUCCAAUCAUUCUUUACUCACCGCCGCCACUGGGAAUGCCACCACUAUUGCCAACUCCACCACCGCUCCACCGCCGCCGCUCAGAACCUCCGCGGCGUUCAAGCCCGGAAUAGCGGCCGUGGUGGGGAUACUCACCACCACUUUCUCAAUCACUUUUUUACUGCUUCUCUACGUGAAGCAUUGCAAAGGGAGCAGCUACGGUAAUGCUUCGAGAGGCUACCCGCCGUCGAGGAGGAACUCCGGGAUCAACCGGAAGGUGAUCGAGUCGCUGCCGAUGUUCCGGUUCUCGUCGCUGCGCGGGCACAAGGACGGCCUCGAGUGCGCCGUCUGCCUGAACAAGUUCGAGGCGGAGGAGGUGCUGCGGCUGCUGCCCAAAUGCAAGCACGCCUUCCACGUGGAGUGCGUCGAUACCUGGCUUGAGGCGCACUCCACGUGUCCGCUCUGCCGCUACAGGGUGGACCCCGAGGACGUGCUGCUCGUCGACACCAGCGCUCUAGCCACGCCGCGGGCCAGUGGCGCCGCCCCCGCCCCCGCCCCCGCACCGGCCCCGAGGGUGCGGGCGGCACUCCUCCGCGGGGGAGCGGGGCACCGCCCUGGAGAUCAUCGCGGAGAAUCCGCGGGACGAUCGUCCUCCGGGGGCGCGUGUCGCUGGACAGCUGGAACUCCCGCCGGAAAACAGGGGCGGGUUCUGGCGGGAAAAUGUUGGACAGGUUGUCAGUGGCGGAAAAUCCGGGCAGGAGGGGGAAAGCGGGCAGGAAAGACGGGCAGCUGCCGGUGCAGGGGGACAAGCAUCGCCUGGAGCACCGGAUCAUAAUAUCGGGGGGGCGGGGAGGGGCUGCGGCGGUGGAGCGACGUGCAGGCGGCGGAUUUGCUGUACCUGGGAUCGGAAAUGCUGCUGGGUGGAGAGGAGGGGGAGAGUGGCAGCGGCGUAAUAAAUGGGAGAAGCGUGUCGGAAAUAACAGGGAUGAGUAGGUACAGGGGCAAUAAUGGAGGGAAGGAGGAGAGAGAGAGACAGGAGGAAGGCGUUGUAAACAGGUGGUUGGCCUGGAUUUCUCAAUCCCAACACCACCACAAUCCAGCUGUACAAUCUGCCACUUCUGCUGCUGCUUCUUCUCCUAUUGUUCUUUAGGCAAAAUCAUUAUUUAAUACUCUGUUUUUUUUUCCUUGAUUUUUGUUACUGAUCUAUACAAGGGCUAAACAUUCAUAUCUCCAUUCACUGCAUUUGCAUGCAAACAAACAUUAUCUAUUGCGACAUUAAGAGUUAGGUAGCUUGUCAUCCAUCGCCUCUGUCGAUUCCACUGUUUUAUAGAGGUACAAAUAUUAAUCUUCCUUC
rnacentral:lncRNA from 1 species